rnacentral:rRNA from 1 species
AUUGAACGCUGGCGGCAGGCCUAACACAUGCAAGUCGAGCGGCAGCGACUUAACUGAACUUCGGGGAACGUUAAGGGCGGCGAGCGGCGGACGGGUGAGUAAUGCCUGGGAAUAUGCCCUGAUGUGGGGGAUAACUAUUGGAAACGAUAGCUAAUACCGCAUAAUCUCUUCGGAGCAAAGAGGGGGACCUUCGGGCCUCUCGCGUCAGGAUUAGCCCAGGUGGGAUUAGCUUGUUGGUGAGGUAAUGGCUCACCAAGGCGACGAUCCCUAGCUGGUCUGAGAGGAUGAUCAGCCACACUGGAACUGAGACACGGUCCAGACUCCUACGGGAGGCAGCAGUGGGGAAUAUUGCACAAUGGGGGAAACCCUGAUGCAGCCAUGCCGCGUGUGUGAAGAAGGCCUUCGGGUUGUAAAGCACUUUCAGUAGGGAGGAAGGUAGUGUAGUUAACACCUGCAUUAUUUGACGUUACCUACAGAAGAAGCACCGGCUAACUCCGUGCCAGCAGCCGCGGUAAUACGGAGGGUGCGAGCGUUAAUCGGAAUUACUGGGCGUAAAGCGCAUGCAGGCGGCCUGUUAAGUCAGAUGUGAAAGCCCGGGGCUUAACCUCGGAAUUGCAUUUGAAACUGGCAGGCUAGAGUCUUGUAGAGGGGGGUAGAAUUUCAGGUGUAGCGGUGAAAUGCGUAGAGAUCUGAAGGAAUACCAGUGGCGAAGGCGGCCCCCUGGACAAAGACUGACGCUCAGAUGCGAAAGCGUGGGGAGCAAACAGG